AAGUCGAGCGGUAGAGAGAAGCUUGCUUCUCUUGAGAGCGGCGGACGGGUGAGUAAGUACCUAGGAAUCUGCCUGGUAGUGGGGGAUAACGUUCGGAAACGGACGCUAAUACCGCAUACGUCCUACGGGAGAAAGCAGGGGACCUUCGGGCCUUGCGCUAUCAGAUGAGCCUAGGUCGGAUUAGCUAGUUGGUGAGGUAACGGCCCACCAAGGCGACGAUCAGUAGCCGGACUGAGAGGUUGAACGGCCACAUUGGGACUGAGAUACGGCCCAGACUCC
rnacentral:rRNA from 1 species